CAACUUUAAAACCAGCACGUCACAUUUGAAUGAGCACCAACAUCUGUUAAUAAAGAUUACACACCUCAUCCAGCAGGCUCUGAAUGUCACAGCGGUUUGAGGCCGAUUUAUAAUCCAUGCAUCUCGCUCUCAGUUUGCACAGAGAGCAAUAAUUAAAAGAGUAAAGCUAUUUAUGUUCUAUUAUCCCCAGGCUGUUCUGGCAGAUGACGUGAUUGGCAACUCCUGUCCCUCCACCUGUGUCAUUUGUCCACAGUGCAGAGCAGUUUCUGAUCCAGACUUUGCAGGAGGAGAAGAGGUCAAGGGAGCUGGCCUGCUGUUGAGCACCCAAUGGGAUGCAUUUGAUUCUGUCAGGAACAAUUUGGCGCCGGUGCAGGGUGUGCCGGGAGCAUGUCAGCAUGAUUUAGGUUUCCUCUACUGGGGUACCGCCAUCAGGGAGAGUCCCUCUCAACUGACCGUGACUGGAGCUGGCAAAUGUACAGGGAUUACACUGCAGUUGGAUAAACACACACACACACACACACACACGCACACGCACAUAUGUAAGAUCAAACACAGUGGACACAGGCAUGUAUUUACAUAUAAACACAUUGAUUUACAGUAG
rnacentral:lncRNA from 1 species